UCCUUGGUGGUCCAGUGGUUAAGACUCUGCACUAUCAAUGCAGAGGGCUUAGGUUCAAUUUCUGGUUGGGGAA